GGAGUUCUGCAGGUGUUUGAUGCUCCGUCUUUUCCCUUUGAGGAGAUGAGGCGACGGUUCAGGCAGGAAGAGGAGACGAGGGGCCGCGAACACCUGAAAAACCACUUUCCUGCAGCACAAGACGUGGACGUCAGAUUUCUGAGACCAGCUCCAAACACGGGAAGAUCUACAGAGAAGAAAGCGAG